UACGAAGGGGGCUAGCGUUGCUCGGAAUCACUGGGCGUAAAGCGCGCGUAGGCGGCCCGGUAAGUCCGCUGUGAAAGUCAAAGGCUCAACCUUUGAAUGUCAGCGGAUACUGCCGGGCUAGAGUCCGGAAGAGGCGAGUGGAACUCCUGGUGUAGCGGUGGAAUGCGCAGAUAUCAGGAGGAACACCUAUGGCGAAGGCAGCUCUCUGGUACGUGACUGACGCUGAGACGCGAAAGCGUGGGGAGCGAACAGG
rnacentral:rRNA from 1 species